AUAGCCGACGCGGGUCAAAGUGUAGUAUAUGUUCUUAUCAGCUUAAUAUCUGAUACGGGUUGAGUUUGCUACCAAGACAUUAAACAUACUUGUGCAAGUUGGCGCAGUGCUGCAACCAUGCUUCCCCUCCGCCGCGGGCGGGCCGGCUCGGUAUUGCACUAUCUUCGGGACCGGCCCAUGGCUU